GUUUCAUCUGUGUGUUUGCAGUGCUGAUAAACAAAGUGUCUCUGGAUGUCAGAGUAGUCGGUUUUACUGGCAGUUCUGUUGUCCUGCCGUGUUCUUCAAUUCAACAUGAUCUUAAACCUCAAGACAUGCAUGUGCUUUGGAGAGACAAAGACAGUGAGACUAUUUAUGAUUUAAUUGAAGGUAAAGAUUCAUUAGAGACACAGGACCCACGUUACAAGAACAGAGCGCAAACUUUCCCAGAGGAGUAUGAGAGAGGAAACUUCUCCAUCAAACUCAGCAAUCUCACUCAUGCUGAUGAAGGAGAAUUCAACUGCUUCAUCACACACUCAUCUUAUUCUAAUCAGGAGACUGUAUGGCUCUUCAUUAAUGAAUCAACAGUAGAAACUGGAAACCAAUCUACUGAAGAAGAAAACCAAGUACCAGAAACACAGUCAAACUGGAUAAAGACAUUAUUAAUCUGUGUUUGUCUUUUAACUUUAAUAACUUCAAUAAUUGCCCUGUCUACAGUCUAUUUCAAAUUUUGCAGGAACAAAAGCCAUCAAGCUCCAAUAUAGAAGGAAAAGUGUCAUACUGAAGGUCCUGUUGCGCACAGCAAGUGUCAGCGGCAUCUGAGCAGCCCAUAUUUUCCAGCACCCAUGUUAACAAAUGAGUGUUCACAUCAGAAGUGGGAGUGGCAUGUCAUGCACAAUCACAUAUUCUGUUGUAGAUUCUCUCAUUAUACUCUUGCAGAAAACAAUGACAGAAAUCAAUGUGCACUGCUUGUUCUUAUUGUAUAACAGAAUGAGAUCUUGAAACACUUGAACAGUGUCGGUCCUGUCAAUAUGUUGCUGCCGUAACAAUUCUGUACCACAAGUGUGUUCUCAAAGUAAAUGUAUUUUGUAUUCUUUAUGUAUUUCUUGAUUGUUAAUAUUAUUACUGCGCAUCAAUUAUUAA